rnacentral:rRNA from 1 species
CACACGACUCUCGGCAACGGAUAUCUCGGCUCUCGCAUCGAUGAAGAACGUAGCGAAAUGCUAUACCUGGUGUGAAUUGCAGAAUCCCGUGAACCAUCGAGUCUUUGAACGCAAGUUGCCCCCGAGGCCAUUCGGCCGAGGGCACGCCUGCCUGGGCGUCACGC